GUCUUUCUCUGGUCCUGUCAGCUCCUCAGCUCCCCUUAUCGUCUCCUGAACCCUUUAACUUCACCCUGACUGUCAGCUCUGAUCCUGGUUUCCUACCCCACCUUCGAGUUCAGCCACAAAACCCACAUCCCCCAACCACAGUUCCACCACAGGCUCCCCCUCUCCUUAGUCCAACCUUAGCCUCCCCGUUUCCCCAAACCCAAACACUCUUCCCUUCAUUUCCCUACAUCUCACGGUUUCUUCGGGCCCCUAAGGCGUUAAAUGUGACCGAGACCUAGGGGUCACGGACCACCGUGGGAGGGGCUAGGUUCAGCUGUCAGAAACUCGGAGGAGAAAAAUCUUUAAUUCCUUUUAGACAUAAUGUGUAUCUGCCUUUGAUAAGGCUCACUUGGAGAAGUAGGGCAUGCGGUGGAAAGAAGGUGAAAUCUGAUAUUAGAAGAUCCAGUUUUGAGUGUGCUGCUUACAAGCCUGCUUACUUGGGGUAAAAGGAGGAUGCAAAUUAUUAUGGAAAUGUGGACCUAUGAAAAUUAUAUCAUGUUGAAUCUCAAGAUCUGGAAUCAAGAUCUGAUCCUGGCACUUACUGCUGUUGAUCUUGGAUUGAUCACUCUACAGCUCUAAGCUUCACUUUCCUCUUCUAAAAGUUAAUAGACAUUUCUGACCU
ensembl:lncRNA